AUUGAACGCUGGCGGCAGGCCUAACACAUGCAAGUAGAGCGGAGCGGCGGACGGGUGCGUAAUUCAUAGGAAUCUGCCUGGUAGUGGGGGAUAACGUACGGAAACGGGCGCUAAGACCGAAUAAUAUCAGAUGAGCCUAGGUCGGAUUAGCUAGUUGGUGGGGUAAAGGCCUACCAAGGCGACGAUCCGUAACUGGUCUGAGAGGAUGAUCAGUCACACUGGAACUGAGACACGGUCCAUACCCCUACGGGAGGCAGCAGUGGGGAAUAUUGGACAAUGGGCGAAAGCCUGAUCCAGCCAGGCCGCGUGUGUGAAGAAGGUCUUCGGAUUGUAAAGCACUUUAAGUUGGGAGGCGUUACCAACAGAAUAAGCACCGGCUAACUUCGUGCCAGCAGCCGCGGUAAUUC
rnacentral:rRNA from 1 species